rnacentral:lncRNA from 1 species
CUGGGAAUCUAUCUGUGAGGUGGAGGGCCUGUUAGCAAGACUCCAUAUCACUUUGCUGAGAGGUUUUUUUCCUUUUUUCCUUUUCACCCAGUAAAUUCCUCUCUAAUCACCCUUCAACAUGUCUGUGCACCCAAUCCUUCCUGGUCAUGUGACAAGAACUUGUUUUUUUCUACAUUUUUGGUGGCCUGUAUGGGGACAUGGGAAAAGUGUAGGGCAUGAGUUCCUGGCUGCCCCAUAAGGAAGGAAACUGCCAGAAGCCCUUUAGAAUGAAGAAAAGUGAGAAGAUUCUUGGAAAGUGGACUGAGCUUUUAACUCUGCAAGGGACCCUCAGCCCUCUUGGCAUACUGAAGUGAACACUCUGCAGCUAAGCACCACUGAAUCCAGCAGGACUUGAGACUUCAUCAUCUGCCAAAAAUGAGCUUUCCUAACAACAUGGGACCUAUUUGUCUAAAAAUAAACUGUCCUAGCCACAAGAGAUGAGACAAAACCCAAGACCACAGACUCAUUUUCUUCUAAAAUGCUCUGUCUGAAAGAUUUUAAGAAGAAAACGGGAGAGAAAUAUAAAAAGAAAAUAAAAACUUGGGACCCCAAUUCACUAUGCCAAAAGGGAAAAAAUUAAGCUGAAAGCUGAGUAAUGCAAGAAGCUGCCUUUCUUUUUGUUCCUAAGCAAAUAGCUACAGAUAAAAGGUUUAGUAUCUCCACAGGUAGCUACUCUAGGUUCACUUUAUCUUAUGUAAAGUGCUGAUUUGCAGAGCAUGAGAUGAAUACAUAGUUGACCCUUCCCCUAACCGCUCCUUUUCUCUUGCAAUAUGUGGAUUCAGUAAUGUGACCAUACCCUACCUCUUUCCCCUCCAGCCUGCUUUUCCCCAUUAAAUAUUGAAGCCCUCAAAAUAAUACUUGGAGAAAGGCAUAGACAUAUCAC